UUAUAGGGCCAGGUGUGUGAGGAAAGGCAGGGCUGUAAGGGGUGGGGUGUGUGAGGAGAGGGCUCUGGUUCGCUGUGGGGAGGCAGGUGUAUGUAGAGUAAAGGCAGGCCUGUAAGGAGUCGGGGUGGGUGGGAAAGGAGAGUCAGGUUUAUGGGCCUAGCUGUGUGUGAGGAAAGGCAGCCUGUGUACAGAUGUGUGUGUGAACCUCAGGCCUAUGGGGGACCGAGUGUGUGCGGAGGUGGUUUCAUGCCUACCACAGGUUCAGGUGUGCAAGAGGAGUUUUCAGGGUCCAUCACAGAGUGGCUCUGGGGCUUGCAGCAGCUGCUGGCAUGUGGCAAAGCCUUGGUAAGGAUGGGCUGCAUCAGGAGGGGAGCUGUGGACUGCCCAGCCUGAGGGGGAAAGGCCUUGGAGGACGAGAAGCUUUAGUGGUGGCUGAAAGGCCUGGGUUAGGAUGACUGCAGAGCAGAGAGACAGGGUAAGGUGGUGCAAUGCUGUUCCUGCCAUGCUUUGCAGUUUCCUAUAUGGAGGCAAACGUUCCUUUAUAAAUAUAGAGACCUACACUGGCUUGUGUACUGGUCUCUGAGCAUGUUGGUGAUGGACAAAGCUGGAGGUCCAGAGCUGUGUGUUCUGCCCAUGCCUCAUGCAGCCUCGUGCUGGUGUGUCGCUGCUGGGCUGCCUUCCAGGGCCCUCGUGGUGCAGUCAUUUCAAACCAAAGGUGUGGAAACUUGAAAGCAACAUGUCCCAGGCUAUGGGCAGCUGUGUUCUGUUCUACAAAGGCCAAUAUUACAGGUUUUCUGGUUAUCUAUUUCAUAUAAGAAACAUGUUGCUGUGCUUUCUGUUUACAAAGACUGAACUUUGUAGCUUUUUUUUUUUUCUUCUCUGUUUCUUACAAAUGGAAAGAAAAACAAAGAGCAGGGCCUCUGUGUCAGCUGCUUUGCAAAUAGCUGAUGCUGACAAAGCAGGAUGCAGAAACCUUUCUUCAGACUGAGUGAAUGUAUGUCAAACAGUCAGUGAGUUGUGAUGAGAAAAACAGUUUUUUAUGAAAACAUGAGCCAAGAACAACAGCUUGACAAAGAAGUUUAAACUUUCCCUGAUAGCUCUUUGGGGCGUAGAUAGUUAAGUUUCUGCAUUUGUAAGGGAAACAUGGCAUUCCUUAAAGCUGAACCUCCUCCCUUGGGUUCCCACUGGAUGCCUGAGAGAUGACAGUAUAGGGUGUCUCCAGAAGGCUAAUAUUAAACAGGAGGAAUUGGUGUGGAGGGAGCAAGCAGCAAGUGAGAUUCCAGUUUUGACCACAGAAUGAGCUAAAACAAUUUUGCAUCAGCAACUCUAUCCGGUUUCUUACUCAUUCUCUGCACACAGCUCCUGCUGUUCAAAGGAUUCCUCUGUGCCCUCACAUUAGUGAAUGCACCUGCCCUUUGUGUGCAAGCUUCCUCCUAAAGGGUAAAUUUGCUUCAGACAAACAGAAAGUGCUGAGGCAGUGUAAUGUGAGUUGAAUUAACCUUGAAAGGGGAGCCCCAGCUCAGCCUUUCUGAAUUUACCCAAUCGCUGUCCACAGCAGCAUGAGCAAGGCUGGCUGGGGAGCUGAUGGGUGAACUGUGUGGACACAUGGAAGAGAUACAGGAAGGAAAUGGAAAAUAAAUUGGGGGUUUAGCCAGAGUGCUGUUUCUAAUUCUGCAGCUGUGCGAAGAUGAGGAAGUGAUUUGGGCAGUCCAAGCGCGGCCCCAGCAGUGCAGCUCCUGGGAUGCAGCAGCAGCCACCGCACCCUUUCCUGUUCACCCUGCAGCCCUGUCAGCUCUUCUGCAUCUGCCAGAGCCCUGUGGAAGGAUUGCUUGUCUGCGUGCAGAUGGCACUGGCACUGAUGUGAGUGGCUGCAACGCUUACUGGUGUGGCAAGUUGAGUGCCCCCCAAAGGGAUGUUGAGAUCUGGGAGCUGCUCGCAGUUGCGCUGAUGUUCAGCCAUGUCUCUGCCUCAUCUCCUGUAAGAGGCAAUAUUUACUUACGUAAAAAGGUUUAAUACAUGCUUUGCGUGGGUGUUCCAAGUUAAAAAUUGUCAGUCAGUGCAAACAGAUCUUGGAUAAACUAGUGAAAAGCAAAGUGCAUGAGCUGUGUUACUACUGCAGUUCUUUUCAGAACAGGGUAUGUCCUGGUGCCCCCUGGGUUAACUAGUUUUAAACAGCACUGCACUCAUCUUGAGUUUAGUCCUUCCUUACAUAAAACCAAUUCUGUUUUAUUUCCUUCUCCUUGGUUAGCUGUUUGUAGUGUCCCAGUGAGUCAACAAGCCGUGCAUUUGGGGAAUGUCCAGGAUCCACACCUGGGUCCUUCAGAUUGUAGCAGUGUCCUGCUGGAGAAUAACCUGUCUGUGCCCAUCUGCAGUGGGUUUGGACGCUUAGGAAAGCUGCGAUUGACUGGCAGGGAGGAGUCUGAUGAAAGCACGGAGGAACGAGGAAGACUUUUCUACACGGAGGAAAGCAGCAGGAAAGCUGUGCAAGCACUGGACCAGCCCACUUCCACUGGGCAGGGACGGUGCUGGGCAUUGUGUUAGCGUGGGUGAUAGCAGCUGGUGGCAGAACGUGACAACGUGCCUCUCGAGAGGUCCGACGUCUCCGCCCUCGCGGAGCAUUGCGCUGCCGUGCGCGGGUCUCGAACCUGCAACUCAGUGAGUGACGCCGUGCCCGGGCCUCGAACCCGUGACCCCUCGGCAACCCACCGCGCCCAGCGCCCCCCACCCCAUCAGGCCCCCUGUUAGUUG